rnacentral:rRNA from 1 species
GACGAACGCUGGCGGCGUGCUUAACACAUGCAAGUCGAACGGAAAGGCCCUUCGGUGUACUCGCUUGGCGUACGGGUGAGUGACACGGGGAUAAUCUGCCCUGCACUUUGUGAUAAGCCGGUGACACUGGGACUAAGACCGUAUUGGACCACGCUCUUCUUAGUGGGUGGGUGAAAUCGUUUGCGGUGUUGGUUGGGCCCGAGGUCUAUCAGCUUGUUGGUGGUGUAAUGGCCUGCCACGUCGGAGACGGGUAGCCGGCCUGAGAGUGGGACCGGGCACAAUGGGCCUGCGAGACGGACCAGAAUCCUACGGGCGGCAGUAGUGGAGAACAUUGCACAAUGGGGGCAAGCCUGAUGCAGCGAUGCCGCGUGAGGGAUGACGGCCUACGGGGUGUAAACAUAUUUCACCAGGGCCGAAGAGCAAGUGACGGUACCUGGAGAAGAAGCACCGGCCAACUACGUG